rnacentral:rRNA from 1 species
UACGGGGGGGGCAAGCGUUGUUCGGAAUUACUGGGCGUAAAGGGCUCGUAGGCGGCCAACUAAGUCGGAUGUGAAAUCCCCAGGCUUAACCUGGGAACUGCAUCCGAUACUGGAUGGCUUGAAUCCGGGAGAGGGAUGCAGAAUUCCAGGUGUAGCGGUGAAAAUGCGUAGAUAUCUGGAGGAAUACCGGUGGCGAAGGCGGCAUCCUGGACCGGCAUUGACGCUGAUGAGCGAAAAGCUAGGGGGAGCAAACGGGGAU